rnacentral:rRNA from 1 species
GAUUGAGUGUUCCGGUGAAUUAUUCGGACUGUUCCGUGUCGCGCGCUUGUGGUGACACAAAUGUGUGUGCGGAAUGGGAAGUUUUGUGAACCUUAACACUUAGAGGAAGGAGAAGUCGUAACAAGGUUUCCGUAGGUGAACCUGCGGAAGGAUC